rnacentral:misc_RNA from 1 species
AACCUUAUGGACCUGCGGGCGUAUACCUGCGGAAGGAUCAUUACAGAGUUGCAAGACUCCCUAAACCAUUGUGAACCUACCUUCUACCGUUGCUUCGGCGGGCGGGCCCAGCGCCCCCCCCGGCCCCCCGCGGGCGCCCGCCGGAGGAUACCCAAACUCUUGACAUUAGUGGCCUCUCUGAGUAUUCUUUACUGAAUAAGUCAAAACUUUCAGCAACGGAUCUCAGAUCGGAAGAGCACA